AGGCAGCCCCUUUGCCUAGAAAUAGAAUGGCAUCGGAGGUGUUGUUUUGCUCCCAAAUCAAUCCAUGCUUCUGCUCUUCAGACUCGCUGAGAGGGAGGAUCUAAUCCUUUCUUAUUGAUGCUGGUCUAGUAGUCUUAAGUACAUC